rnacentral:lncRNA from 1 species
CUUCUGAAGAAGGGUGGAAGCACUGAGUGAGGGAAACUGUAGGUGCUCCCCACGAUGUGUGAUAACCUGUGGAGAGUGUGGUGUCCCUGGCUGGAAGCAGAUGACAGUGACCUUUUGAAACCAUUUCCUGACUUCCAAGAGAAAAAAGAGCACCUAGGAGAAGUUAUCUCUUCAUGUUCAUUGUCUUAAUGUUCCUCCUGAACUUCGAGCAUAAACAAUGAGUACAGAGUGUGUCCUACUUAUAUUCAUGGAAGCUAUGCAACAUGGUAAGUACUCCGUUCUGUAAGCAAAAGUUCCUGUGAUUUUAAAGGGGAUGUGAGGUUAAAUUGCUUCUCUUGAGUUGAAUGUAUAAUCAGGACCCAAGGACAGUCAUGUAGGAGUCUCAGAGGACAGCACAAUAUCACUAGUCUGUCUUGUUCCUAACUUUUCUUGACCCCAAACUUUGUGUUAAGCACAGAGGUUAAUUAUAGAGGAGACAGGGAAGUGAUCUGUGUAUUGAAAUUGGUUAGAGUUCAGAGAAAGCUUCCGACAAGAAAACAAGAAAGAAGGUAGAAAUUAAGAGUCAGAUACAAAGGGAAGGCAUGGUGAAUUCUAUCUGGGAGCAAGUUCUUAGGGAGGAAAGUAAAUGAGGUUAGGAAUGACAUCAUAACAAAAGGUAUAAUUGGGCUAAGGGCUAAAGGUGUAGGGAAAAUGGGAAGGGUGGGGAAAAGGUAAUAAGGGAAAGGAAAAAAUAGGAGAAAAUGGAAAUAAAGUGUUUGUAAAUGAGCAGGGAGGAGGGGGUGAAGGGAGGGCGGGGACAAGGGGAAA